UCCGUAGGUGGAUUAAUAAGUCAGAGGUGAAAUCCUGCAGCUCAACUGUGGAACUGCCUUUGAAACUGUUAAUCUUGAGUCAUUAUGAAGUGGUUAGAAUGUGUAGUGUAGCGGUGAAAUGCAUAGAUAUUACACAGAAUACCGAUUGCGAAGGCAGAUCACUAAUAAUGUACUGACACUGAGGGACGAAAGCGUGGGGAGCGAACAGGAUUAGAUACCCUGGUAGUCC
rnacentral:rRNA from 1 species